rnacentral:rRNA from 1 species
AAUAGAUACCCGGGUAGCCCACGCCGUAAACGAUGAGUGCUAAGUGUUAGGGGGUUUCCGCCCCUUAGUGCUGCAGCUAACGCAUUAAGCACUCCGCCUGGGGAGUACGGUCGCAAGACUGAAACUCAAAGGAAUUGACGGGGGCCCGCACAAGCGGUGGAGCAUGUGGUUUAAUUCGAAGCAACGCGAAGAACCUUACCAGGUCUUGACAUCCCAUUGACCACUAUGGAGACAUAGUUUUCCCUUCGGGGACAACGGUGACAGGUGGUGCAUGGUUGUCGUCAGCUCGUGUCGUGAGAUGUUGGGUUAAGUCCCGCAACGAGCGCAACCCUUGUUCUUAGUUGCCAUCAUUUAGUUGGGCACUCUAAGGAGACUGCCGGUGACAAACCGGAGGAAGGUGGGGAUGACGUCAAAUCAUCAUGCCCCUUAUGACCUGGGCUACACACGUGCUACAAUGGACGGUACAAACGGUUGCCAACCCGCGAGGGGGAGCUAAUCCGAUAAAACCGUUCUCAGUUCGGAUUGUAGGCUGCAACUCGCCUACAUGAAGGCC